rnacentral:rRNA from 1 species
GACGAACGCUGGCGGCGUGCCUAAUACAUGCAAGUUGAGCGCUGAAGGUUGGUACUUGUACCAACUGGAUGAGCAGCGAACGGGUGAGUAACGCGUGGGGAAUCUGCCUUUGAGCGGGGGACAACAUUUGGAAACGAAUGCUAAUACCGCAUAAAAACUUUAAACACAAGUUUUAAGUUUGAAAGAUGCAAUUGCAUCACUCAAAGAUGAUCCCGCGUUGUAUUAGCUAGUUGGUGAGGUAAAGGCUCACCAAGGCGAUGAUACAUAGCCGACCUGAGAGGGUGAUCGGCCACAUUGGGACUGAGACACGGCCCAAACUCCUACGGGAGGCAGCAGUAGGGAAUCUUCGGCAAUAGACGAAAGCCUGACCGAGCAACGCCGCGUGAGUGAAGAAGGUUUUCGGAUCGUAAAACUCUGUUGGUAGAGAAGAACGUUGGUGAGAGUGGAAAGCUCAUCAAGUGACGGUAACUACCCAGAAAGGGACGGCUAACUACGUG